UAAAGUGUUGGAGUCUUUAAAUCUCAACAUUCUCACUACUAACUUAUCUUCCUUCUCCUCUCGUCUCUCGACUACUCUCUUCCUCCAGGCGGAUGAAGAAGAAAGCAGUGCAGUAGAGGCCAAGAUACAAAUGGCAAUCGCAGCUUAUAAUGAUCCAAAUUAUCUUAUCAACUUCUAAAUUACUUUUAUUUUUUACUCUAUUCGUUUCAUGCAAUAUAUGUGAAGAGUUACAUUGUUGUAAGGGUUGAUUUAUUUUCUGAGCUACAAAACGUCUGGUAUUAUAUUAAAUUUAAAUAUUAUAUGCAAUCCUUUAUUAUGAAAA